rnacentral:rRNA from 1 species
UACGAAGGGGGGCUAGCGUUGCUCGGAAUCACUGGGCGUAAAGGGUGCGUAGGCGGGUCUUUUAAGUCAGGGGUGAAAUCCUGGAGCUCAACUCCAGAACUGCCUUUGAUACUGAAGAUCUUGAGUUCGGGAGAGGUGAGUGGAACUGCGAGUGUAGAGGUGAAGUUCGUAGAUAUUCGCAAGAACACCAGUGGCGAAGGCGGCUCACUGGCCCGGUACUGACGCUGAGACGCGAAAGCGUGGGGAGCGAACAGG